GAUGUCUAAUGAAAUGGUAUUUUCUGUCGAUGUGUCUGGAUCUCCCAUGAUCCCUUGGUUCCUUGGCUAAGGCAACAGCACUUUCACUAUCACAGAAAAUUUCCAUUGGCUCUUUAAUAGCUGGUACAACUCCAAGGUCUCCAAUGAAGUUCUUCAGCCAUAUCGCCUCCUUUGCUGCUUCGCUAGCUGCAAUAUACUCUGAUUCACAAGUAGAAUCAGCCACUGUCUCUUGCUUGGAACUCUUCCAAGAAAUUGCUCCUCCGUUUAGGGUAAAGACCCAGCCCGACUGAGAGCGGAAAUUAUCCCUAUCAGUCUGAAAGCUAGCAUCACUAUACCCUACAACUCUCAAGUCAUCACUCCCACCGAGGGUAAGGACCCAGUCCUUAGUCCUCCGUAGGUACUUGAGGAUAUUCUUUACCGCAGUCCAGUGUGCCUUGCCAGGGUUCGCCUGAUACCUGCUAACCAUGCUCAGGGCAAAGGCUACAUCGGGUCGAGUACACGUCAUAGCAUACAUGAUCGAUCCUACAGCCGAAGCAUAAGGUAUUCGACUCAUUUCUGCUAUCUCAGCCUCAGUGCUAGGGCUUUGUGUCUUACUCAAUCUGGCAUUACUCUGGAUGGGUAACUCUCCUUUCUUGGAGUCCUGCAUGCUGAAUCUCUUCAGCACCUUAUCCAAGUAGGUACUCUGACUAAGUCCAAUUAGUCUUUUACUCCGGUCUCUAAAGAUCCUUAUCCCUAGAAUAUAGGUAGCUUCUCCUAGGUCCUUCAUAGAGAAACACUUCCCAAGCCAGGACUUAACUUCCUGCAGAGUUGGGAUGUCAUUUCCUAUGAGUAGUAUGUCAUCCACAUACAGUACCAAAAAGAUAACUAUACUCCCACUAGCCUUGACAUAUACACAAGAUUCAUCUUCACUCCUAAAAAGGCCAAAUUCCUUGAGUUUCUCAUCAAAGCAAAGAUUCCAUCUACGAGGUGCUUGCUUUAACCCAUAAAUGGAUUUUUCAAGCUUACACACUAUAUUAGGGUACUCUGUACUGACAAAACCCUCUGGCUGACUCACGUAGACAUCCUCAGCCAACUUUCCAUUAAGGAAAGCGGUUUUGACAUCCAUUUGCCAUAUUUCAUAGUCAUGAAUUGUAGCUAUGGCUAACAGAACCCUAAUAGACUUAAUCUUACCCACUAGAGAAAAAGUCUCAUCAUAUUCAACUCCCGGAGUUUGUGAGAAACCCUUUGCAACCAGUCAUGCCUUAUAAGUGUGUACUUUACCAUCCAUGUCGGUCUUCUUCUUGAAGAUCCAUUUGCACCCUACUGUCUUACGACCUGGUACAUUCUCAACCAAGUUCCAAACUUGAUUGUCAUACAUGGACUGUAUCUCACUAUCCAUUGCCUCUUUCCACUUGGCUGACUCAGGGCCUGCCAUGGCUUCCGCGUAACUGUUAGGUUCAUCCAGACCUAUCAGUGUCUCAUCACUGAUAAGUGUAUCACCUUCUGCAGUAAUAUGGAAUCCAUAGUAAUGAUCAGGAGCAUUCCAAACCCUUGUGGAACGCCUCAAAGGUACAGACUUGUCAAUUGGCUAAAUUGAAGUUUCCUCCUCAAGUUGAGUGCUAGGGUUUGAAGUUCGUUCACCGCUUGACUCUUGAAUUUCUUCAAGAUCAACAUGCCUCCCACUAUUUCCUUGGCUUAUGAACUCUCUCUCUCUCUCUCUCUCUCUCUCUCUCUCUCUCUCUCUCUCUCUCUCGAAAGACUCCUCUUCUUGCUACAAAGACCACAUUAUCACUAGGUCUGUAGAAGAGGUAACCAAAGGAUCUUUGUGGGUAGCCGAUGAAAAUACACCUCUCGCUUCGGGGUUCGAGCUUAUCAUGAGUCUCGCGUCUCACGAAAGCCUCGCAACCCCAAAUCUUGAUGUGGUCUAGUUUGGGUACUUUACCAGUCCACAUCUCGUGAGGAGUUUUGGCAACUUUCUUUGUAGGGACUAGAUUAAGGAUAUGGGCGGCAGUCUCUAAGGCAUACCCCCAGAAUGAGAUUGGUAGCGAAGCUCGACUCAUCAUGGAACGAACCAUAUCCAACAAGGUUCGAUUACGCCUCUCAGCCACACCAUUCAACUGUGGUGUCCUGGGAGGUGUCAAUUGUGAGACAAUCCCACAUUCCCUUAGAUAGUCGAGGAACUCUGAACUAAGAUACUCACCACCACGAUCGGAUCGAAGCAUCUUAAUGUUCCUGCCCAAUUGAUUCUCGACUUCCUGUUUAAAUUCCUUAAACCUCUCGAAAGUCUCUGACUUAUGCUUGAUCAAGUAGACAUAUCCAUAUCUACUAUAAUCAUCAGUAAAAGUCAAAUAAUAACGAUUAGCAUCCCUUGUGGCAUGUUUGAAUGGUCCACACACAUCCGUGUGUAUAAGGUCCAACAAACCUUCACCCCUCUCACACGAACCUGUGAAGGGUGACUUUGUCAUUUUUCCAAGUAAGCAUGAUUCGCAACUAUCAUCUGACUUUAGGUCAAACGACUCCAAGACUCCAUCCUUUUGGAGUUGGCCUAUGCGUUUCUUGCUUAUAUGUCCAAGACGACAAUGCCAUAAAGAUGCUUUAUCCAAGUUAUUAUUAGUAGAAUCAAUACACAAAACAUUAUUUCCCAAGUUAUCUACAACAGAUACAGCUUCAUACACACCAUCACAAGGUAAUGCUUUAAAAUAAAAGACAUUAUUAUAGAAAACAUCUAUAGAACCAACUUCAUUAUUAAAUGAAAAGGUAAACCCUUGUUUGUACAAAGCAUGAAAGGAAAUAAUAUUUCUUGCCAUUCCUGGCGAAUAACAACACUUAUUCAAAUCUAAACUAAACCCACUACUUAGCGAUAAAGUAUAAACUCCAAUCUUGGUAACAGGUAUAGCUUUCCUAUUCCCCAUGAUCAAGUUUAUCCUUCCUUGCUCCACAUCCUCACUUCUUCUUAGUCCCUGCAAGUCACAACAAAUGUGAAUACCACACCCGGUAUCAAGGACCCAAGAAUUAGAAUGGGGUGAGUUAUUAGAAAUGAUAGUGUAAAUACCUGCAUGGUUGGGUUUAACUUUCCCAUCCUUCACAUCUUGCUGGUAUUUUGGGCAGUUCCGCUUCCAAUGAGCUUUUUCAUGGCAAUAGAAGCAUUCAGCCUCUUUUGGGUCAGAAGAAGGAGUAACGAAACCUUUCUUGGUUCCACUUGAAGAAGAGCCAUCAAGGGUCCGAGCCUUGGUACCCUUAGAAGAGCUCUUUCUCUUCCUCCCUCGACUUUUCCCGAUUGCCAAAACCGGAGUAGAGUUUUGAGUAGGAGUGAUAGCAACCGACUUCCCCUUAAGACCUGUUUCUGCGGUCUUGAGAAGUCCCUGAAGUUUGCUGAGGGUGACUUCUUCCUUGUUCAUGUGAUAUGUCAUGCGGAAUUGAUCAUAGCACGAUGGUAAGGAAUGCAAAAUAAUAUCUAUUGCAAGAUCCUCCGGGAAGUUCACAUUAAGCUUCAGCAAACGAUCCACAUACCUUUGCAUUUUCUGCAUGUGGCUCGUGACGGAUUCCCCGUCCUUCAUCAUGGUUGUUAUCAUGGAGCAGAUGAUUUCAUACCUCUCUUGUCUUGCACUUUGAUGGUAUCUUUCCAUCAAAUCUUGGUGCAUGUCAUAAGGGUAGAAAUCCUCAUAAGACUUUUGGAGUUCCGCUGUCAUCGUGGCCAUCAUGAUGCAAGCCACUUUCGUAGCAUCCCUUUCAUGUGCCCGAAAUUCAGCGAUCUCCUGAGGAGUUGCAGUGGACUCAUCAAUCUCCUUAAGCUCCUUGUCAAGGACAUAUUCUUUGUCCUCGUAGCGGGUAAUCAUCCUGAUGUUUCUGAUCCACUCAUUGAAGUUGGAUCCAUCAAAGGUGACUUUCCCACACAAGUUCAUAAGGGUAAAGGAGCCAUUAGGAUUAGAGCCAGAAGCAUUGUUGAAAGACAUCUGAAGGAAAGAGGACAAGAUUAGUUUAGAUAUAAGAGAGUCCUUAAUAAAACACCCAAAUGUAAUAUUAAGGAAAGGAUCCAAUCACAAUAUAUUAUAACUUAAAAGAGGUAUGCUGUAAUCCAAGCUAUAACAUAUUUGAAAGGUAGGUGAAUGACGAUUCACCAAUUUCCACCACGAAAAACGAAAUAUUAAAUAUUAGGUUUUUGAUUGGUUCUUAGAAAUUCCUAGAUUCUUUUGAGAUUCAAUGAACUUUUCAAAGGCAUGUUUCAAUCUCGAGUGUGCCCUCCAAGUUUUGUGACUGGGAUACCGAGGAUCACAAAACGAGGUGUGAAGUAACCAUGCAAAUCACUUGGUACCCUUAAAGUUUAUCACUCAAUCGAUGUGCCGGUUAACCACACACGCUCCAUCGAUACUAUAAUAAACCCUAAGUCACCCUUUACCUACCUUGUUAAGUCCAAGUUAGUGUGCCGGUUAACCACACACGCUCCACCAACGACUUAAUCAAAGUGUAAAGUGUAAUUUCAUGGAAUAGCACCUUAUUCACAUUUUUCCUAAAGUAACUAAGAUUGGGAAUUUAAUAAAACAUUUAGUUACUUUAUAAUAUUCAUCAUACUUUGAAUGAGAAUUAAUAAGUCCUUGUCUUACCCGUUCGGCUAACGACCCUCCACCGAUCAAGCAAGCGGUGGGUGAGAGUGGACACCCAUUAAGUCACCAUUUUAUAGGCAACAACCUUAUACCCACCUUAUAGACCGGCUUCGUGAAUGAGGCGUACUAGCGGUAAGACGACUUUGUUCUUAUACAUAUAUAUAUAAUUAUUAAAUCAUAAUAAUAUAAGUAUAAGGGUUGAAUUUUAACUUUUAAAAUUCUAGGGGUUGGAACUAAAGUUUUAACUUAACUUUACUUGUUCCAAAACUUGAGGGCAAGUUUUGUAAACUUUCAAAACUUUUCAUUUCUUGUAACUUAUGAGUUUAAUAGAGUAAUAAAAUGAGGACUUUUCAUUUUUCCUAACUCUUGUGUUCUUUUAAUGGUUUUUAAUCCAAGAGACUUUUGGUUUUCCAUAACUUGAGGACAAGUUAUGGACUCCAUUAAAACACAUUAUGAUCAUGAAUUAAUCUACCACAUAGGUUACAAAUAAUUCCUAUGAUCAUCUAAACAUCAUAAGAACAAGAAUAUGAAUAUGAACACUUUCAAGAAUCAAAAUCACAUUUAAUCUUUGUAAUUUUGAUAACUAGUUGUUGUAAAUGAGUUAGAAAAGACAUUACACCUUCUAAAAUAAGUUUUCAAGUACCAAAACAUUUUAGGGUAAUGAUUCUAAUCCAUUUCCAGCAACUCAAGUCGAAAUUCUGCACUCUGUCGACCCUACUCGCCGAGUGCAUAAACCUACUCGCCGAGUAGGUUGAAGAUACACAUGAACUCGACGAGUCCUCCCCAUGGACUCGCCGAGUCCAUCAGUCAGACAGCAGAAUUUUCGACUUUCUUCAACUUUUAAGCACAAAUAACAAACAAACAAGCCUAGGCUCUGAUACCACUGAUGGGUUUUGAGCAUUCUAACACUUCCUAAGUGUACAUGCAACCCUAAUAACCUUGGAUCUAUGUUUGUCUAAUUAUCAUGCAAAGUUGAAUUCCAAGGUUAUAUUCCUAUCUAGCAUACAUGGGGAACAAUUUUAACUUGAAUCAUAGAUAGAAUAACUUACCUUGUUGUUGCUUGUGUUCCUUGAAACCUUGUGAGCCUAGCACCCCAAGUGUGAUGCCUCAAAUGCUUCACACAACACCAAAUGCUCUUGGAAAGACUCUUGAGAUAACACACACUUCUCAAAAUCGGCCAAGCCCUCUAGUUUCUUAGUGUUCAACUUGUGUAGCCAAUUUUGUGGAGAAUGGGACUCUUAUAUAGUGUUGGCACAUCUAGGGUUACACCAUGUAAACCCUAAUGUGUCAUGACUCUUCAUUUCCAUGACCCAUGGGUUUGUAACUCCCAUGGAGCAUCCAUGGAGCAUCCUAUGGGUAGAACCCAACUUGAUAAUCCAUGGAGCCUCUUAGCCCACUAUACAAGAUAUGGAUGAUUUACAUAAUCAACCCAUAUAUUUAAUUAGUUAUCCUUUGAUCACUUAAUUAAUUCCAAAUUAAUUCUUUGAUCAACUAAUCAAAUAAUAUUAUUAAUAUAUUAGAACUUAUAAUAUAUUAAUAAUCUCCAAGUGUUAUUUCUCUCAUUUAGUCUAUCCAAUUGCAUGGUGCCAUGCAACCCAAAUGGACCAUGCCGGGUCGGGUCAAGUACAAGCCCGAAAUAGUUAUGGACUUAGACACCUUAUCCAACAGUCUCCCACUUGGAUAAGUCUAAUAACUAUAUCUCUAGUACUUCAGGAACCGACCGGCAAUCGUAGCUCUUUCAAGGUCUCUCGGAACUGAGAAGAUGAUGGUACGCCAUUUAAGAUAAGUGAUCAUAUAAUCCUCCGUUCUAGAUAUCAGCCGGACAAAUACAUGGAACAUUGUCUUGCUUAUUGUCCAGCAUUUGUUUCCCGAUUUCCGAUUUGUUUGACAUAGAACUUAAUUGAACACAUCAACUUAGUUCUGACCGGGCCCGGUACAUGGGUCAAAACAAAAUCAUCGAGGGGCCCAGAUAUCAGCUUCUAAUCCAAGAAGGAACAGAUAAACUUCGACUCAUAUGUUUGUUCUACCACUCAUUGAAUUACACACAAAAGUACGUUUUAUAACAUCGAGUUACCAAUGCGGUUUCGUACAGUCAAUGCAUAACCAACUUGUAAGUAACAAAUCAUAUCUCUAGGUUUGAAGACUUAUAUGAUAUUACCGUCUCACGAUCACUCGAGAUAGAAUUCCAUGAAGUGAUUCCAGUGAGCGUGGGUUGAGUCCAAUGCUCAGAACUUAUGAGCACUCAUGAUUGUUGUAGCCUUGUCCAAGACCUCUACAACCAAACAUGACAGUCUUGAUUCAUAUCUACUUCCAACAUAUGACCGACUGUGGAGGUUUGAAUAAUAUGUUAUACCAAACAAAAUUAUUCUGGAAGUCAAAACAUGCAAAAGAAAUAUAGUAAACGAUCGACAAGAGAUAGCAACACUUUACUCAUAAAUAAAACACCUUUUAUUCAUCAUCAAAUGUCAAUUACACUUUACAAAUUUCUGGGUUAUCUAACUACUAAAACUUAUAUCAUCCUUCAGCCCUAUGCUCCGAGCAUGCUGGAGAUGCUUAACCCUACUCAGUCCCUUCGUGAGGGGAUCUGCUGGGUUCUCAUCCGAUGAUACCCUCUUUGCCACGAGGAGUCCUUCUUCGAUCCGAUGUCUAAUGAAAUGGUAUUUUCUGUCGAUGUGUCUGGAUCUCCCAUGAUCCCUUGGUUCCUUGGCUAAGGCAACAGCACUUUCACUAUCACAGAAAAUUUCCAUUGGCUCUUUAAUAGCUGGUACAACUCCAAGGUCUCCAAUGAAGUUCUUCAGCCAUAUCGCCUCCUUUGCUGCUUCACUAGCUGCAAUAUACUCUGAUUCACAAGUAGAAUCUGCCACUGUCUCUUGCUUGGAACUCUUCCAAGAAAUUGCUCCUCCGUUUAGGGUAAAGACCCAGCCCGACUGAGAGCGGAAAUUAUCCCUAUCAGUCUGGAAGCUAGCAUCACUAUACCCUACAACUCUCAAGUCAUCACUCCCACCGAGGGUAAGGACCCAGUCCUUAGUCCUCCGUAGGUACUUGAGGAUAUUCUUUACCGCAGUCCAGUGUGCCUUGCCAGGGUUCGCCUGAUACCUGCUAACCAUGCUCAAGGCAAAAGCUACAUCGGGUCGAGUACACGUCAUAGCAUACAUGAUCGAUCCUACAGCCGAAGCGUAAGGUGUUCGACUCAUUUCUGCUAUCUCAGCCUCAGUGCUAGGGCUUUGUGUCUUACUCAAUCUGGUGUUACUCUGGAUGGGUAACUCUCCUUUCUUGGAAUCCUGCAUGCUGAAUCUCUUCAGCACCUUAUCCAAGUAGGUACUCUGACUAAGUCCAAUUAGUCUUUUACUCCGAUCUCUCAAGAUUCUUAUCCCUAGAAUAUAGGCAGCUUCACCAAGGUCCUUCAUAGCGAAACACUUCCCAAGCCAGGACUUUACUUCCUGCAGGGUUGGAAUGUCGUUUCCUAUGAGUAGUAUGUCAUCCACAUACAAUACCAAAAAGCUAACUAUACUCCCACUAGCCUUGACAUACACACAAGAUUCAUCUUCACUCCUAGAAAAGCCAAAUUCCUUGACCUUUUCAUCAAAGCAAAGAUUCC
rnacentral:lncRNA from 1 species